AGACCCGAAACCCGGUGAUCUAGCCAUGGGCAGGUUGAAGGUUGGGUAACACUAACUGGAGGACCGAACCGACUAAUGUUGAAAAAUUAGCGGAUGACCUGUGGCUGGGGGUGAAAGGCCAAUCAAACCGGGAGAUAGCUGGUUCUCCCCGAAAGCUAUUUAGGUAGCGCCUCGUGAAUUCAUCUCCGGGGGUAGAGCACUGUUUCGGCUAGGGGGCCAUCCCGGCUUACCAACCCGAUGCAAACUGCGAAUACCGGAGAAUGUUAUCACGGGAGACACACGGCGGGUGCUAACGUCCGUCGUGAAGAGGGAAACAACCCAGACCGCCAGCUAAGGUCCCAAAGUCAUGGUUAAGUGGGAAACGAUGUGGGAAGGCCCAGACAGCCAGGAUGUUGGCUUAGAAGCAGCCAUCAUUUAAAGAAAGCGUAAUAGCUCACUGGUCGAGUCGGCCUGCGCGGAAGAUGUAACGGGGCUAAACCAUGCACCGAAGCUGCGGCAGCGAACGUAUCACUUAAAGCGAUUCAGCGGGUUACGAUUGACGGAGCGAAGCGACGUCAAAGCGUAUACAAAGUCGAGUCGGUUUAAGGAUACGUUCGUUGGGUAGGGGAGCGUUCUGUAAGCCUGCGAAGGUGGCCUGUGAGGGUUGCUGGAGGUAUCAGAAGUGCGAAUGCUGACAUAAGUAACGAUAAAGCGGGUGAAAAGCCCGCUCGCCGGAAG
rnacentral:rRNA from 2 species